ACGUAAGGGGCGAGCGUUGUUCGGAAUUAUUGGGCGUAAAGGGCACGCAGGCGGUUUGAGAAGUCUGAUGUGAAAGACCUGGGCUCAACUCAGGGAUCGCGUUGGAAACUGUCAAACUAGAGUAUUAGAGGGGGAGUCGGAAUUCCUAGUGUAGGGGUGAAAUCUGUUGAUAUUAGGAAGAACACCGGUGGCGAAGGCGGACUCCUGGCUGAAUACUGACGCUGAGGUGCGAAAGCAUAGGGAGCAAACAGGAUUAGAUACCCUGGUAGUCUAUGCUGUAAACGAUGUGCACUUGGUGUUGGGCCGAUUAGGUUCAGUGCCGUAGCAAACGCGAUAAGUGCACCGCCUGGGGAGUAUGCUCGCAAGGGUG
rnacentral:rRNA from 1 species